UGAGGCAGGAGAAUUGCUUGAAGCCAGGAAGUGGAGGUUGCAGUGAACCAAGAUCGUGCCACUGCACUCCAGCCUGGGCGACACAGCGAGACUCCGUCUCA
rnacentral:miRNA from 1 species